UUUAAGGAGUCUCGCAUCUGGACAGUAUAGGUUUCGGUUCUUGUUCCCCAGAAAAAGUGUGUUUUGGCAGGAAAACAAGAUCCUAUAUAGAUGUUGGCCACAAAGGAUUCCUUGCGGAGUCAAUUCGUCAGCUUCGGGAGUAGAUUGUGUGUGGACUACGCUACUCCAGCUUCCAGGACCUUGCUCUCGUUCCAGCCCUGCCUUGUUCCCCGGACCUCGCCACGGAUUUCGCCACGGACCCUGUUCUUGCUCCUCGCUUCUUGUUGCCUUGAAUCAAGCCUUGUUUGCCAAGAAUCUAGUUUGCUCCCCAGCCUUGCAUCAAGCUCCAUGGACUAAAGGACCUUGUCAUUGCUCCUCGCUUCUUGUUGCCUUGAAUCAAGCCUUGUUUGCCAAGAAUCUAGUUUGCUCUCCAGCCUUGCAUCAAGCUCCAUGGACUAAAGGACCGUGUCAUUUCCCCUCACUUUGCUUGGCAAAGUGUGUGUUUCGGUUAUUGGAUUACAACUUUGGACUUUAAUAUCUCAUAUUGGACAUUGUUUUCCUGGACUAUAUUUGACCUUUCCUGAAAGGUCUUCUUCUGAACUUUAUUCUACACUUGUUUUUAUUAACUUUAUAUAUUUCCUCAAUAAAGAUAUUAGAUAGAUUCUGGCCUCUGUGUAUGGUUAUUGGUGCUCUGCAGCCUGGGUCCUGACAAACGCUCUCUACGUGGGGUUGCCUUUGAAGACGGCCCGGAAGCUCCAACUAGUACAACGGGCGGCAGCCAGAUUAAUAAUUGGGGCAGCUUACAGGGAGCAUACCACCCCCCUGCUAAGCCAGCUCCACUGGCUGCCGAUAUGCUACCGAGCCCAAUUCAAAGUGCUGGUCUUGACCUAUAAAGCCCUAAACGGUUCUGGCCCAAUCUACUUGUCCGAACGUAUCUCCUCCUAUGAGCCAGGAAGAUCCCUAAGGUCAUCUGGAGAGGCCCUGCUCUCGGUCCCACCUGUCUCACAGGCGCAGCUGGUGGGGACGAGGGACAGGGCCUUCUCGGUGGUGGCUCCCCGGCUGUGGAACACCCUCCCCAGAGAAAUACGGCACGCCCCAACCCUUCUGAGUUUUAGAAAAGCCCUGAAAACAUGGCUAUGUGCCCAGGCUUUCAAAGAUUAAAUGAUAAAAGACGACCCUGGACUGAUUUACGGCUACAGCACAAGGAUUUUGGAGGAAUGGAUUUUAAUCAUAUGUUUUAUAUUUUUCUAUUGUUUUAAUUGUUUUAUUGGAUUUUCAUUGCUGUUUUAAUUAUGUGCAGGCAUUGAAUUGUUGCCAAUUUGUACGCUGCCCUGAGUCCCUUCGGGUUAGAAGGGCGGGAUAUAAAUGUUGUAAAUAAAUAAAUAAAUAAAUAAAUAAAUAGAGGCAGGUAAUAAAGUCAUCAUCAUCAUCACUGAUGACAGAACGACUGGAAGGUCAUUCAUUGUUAGGGUCAUCAUGGGUCAAAGCUGAUUUAAUGGUAAUUAACAAGAAGAAGACCUGUCAUGUCUAUUUACAUUGGGUAUUCCUAACUAUUCCAGUCUGUGUAGAAGUCUUCAAAGAAAUGAAGUUCACAGGUAUUUUGUGCAUAUAUUUCAAAUGAAUGAAUUAAUGGAUGCUUGAUCCAUUAACUGAACCAUUUUAUACAUUCUAGAAAUGAUGUAAAGCAUUUAUCAAAUGUGCCUAUAUUGACAUAUCCUUUUUUAUUUCUUUCACAAAUGCAGCAUAAUCUCAGAAAUAUAAGCUGUACAUAGUUCCAUGUUCAGUCCAACAUGUGCAGAACUGAGUAUAUCUCUAGAGUGUAAAUGAGGGUUGAAGUCCUUUAUGGAAUGGAUUUAUCAUACAUCCCUAAUAUUUUUAGUGAUAUGCAAGAGAAUUAGAAAAUUCUUGGAGGAUAAAAUUAUCAACUGUUACAAGUCACAAUUACUCCAGGAAAUAAUGCCCGGCUGCUCACUGGAGGGAAGGAUAUUAGAGGCAAAGAUGAAGUAUUUUGGCCACAUCAUGAGAAGACAGGGCCAGAAAAGCAGAUGGAGGAGGC
rnacentral:lncRNA from 1 species